rnacentral:lncRNA from 1 species
CGGUGGCAGAUAUUUCGUUUGUCCUGCUAAAAGUGCUUUUCCAACAGAAAUGUCUUAAUUGAAGAUGAUUUAUAUUCAGAAGUGCUGAUGUUUUAUCAUUUGUCUAAAGAAGGAAAAAGCUGUGUAAGCAGGCAGUAGGCAGCCGUUUUAGGCAUUGUUUUAGACAUUUAUCUACACUCUUUAUCCUUCAGAUGUUUAUAUGAAAAUGACCUGCCCUAGCCUUUCUUGCUAAUGAAAGGCCAUCACCUCAUGAAGUAGUUGUCAAGUUGUUCCCAUAACUUUUGGUUAGAAUCAGGAUUUGCUGAGAACUCCAGGCCCAGAUCGUUUCGCUGUUUUCUCUGCGUUUCCUGACUCCUGCUCUCUGGGCCAUGGGUGGAAAAUGGCUGACGUCUCAGCAUUGGAGGACAGGCCACAUGAGUGUGCCCUGGUGAAGUGCGCCGAUUCUUGGUUUCUUGGCAGGAAAACAUCACUGUUUCCAGCUGGUCAUGAUGUCUCAGGGCACCCUGGGGCCUUGAUCUGGGUUGAUGGUCGCGUUCCAGAUGUAAACAGCUUCAGAAGCCUGACCGUCAUAUGAUCCACACCCCAGCCUGCGUGUGAGUCCCCCAUGGAUCUUGUUGCCGUGCUGGCUGGGAAGAAUAAGUACGAGGAAAAGCACCCUGAGGAAAAAGAGGGGAAGAGAAUGGAGAGUCUCAGCACCCGUUUUUCCCAUGCACCAUCUGACUCCAGUUGGCUCUUUGAAGACUAGGAGACCAGAACGCUUGAGAACGCAAAAUAUGAGAGAGAGCACAGGAGGCAGAUCUGAGCUUACAUUCACUAUUACUCUGGUCCAAAAGUUCCUUGCCCAUUGUUCCCUCUGGCCAGGCUUCUCCUAGGUAGUGGGCGUUCUUCAUCACCCUCUGAUGGUCCAAUCCCAGAGUCCCAGCCUGUUGGAGAAAGUUAUUAAUAGCUUCACACCAGAGUUUCCGGUUGUGG